rnacentral:rRNA from 1 species
GAUUAACGCUAGCGGAAGGCAUAAUACAUGCAAGUCGAACGGGAUAGAACUUAGCAAUAGGUUCUUGAGAGUGGCGCACGGGUGCGUAACACGUAUGCAACCUACCUUUAACUGGGGGAUAGCCUCUCGAAAGAGAGAUUAAUACCCCAUAGUAUAACUGAAGAGCAUUUUUUGGUUAUUAAAGAUUUAUCGGUUAAAGAUGGGCAUGCGGCUGAUUAGGUAGUUGGUGAGGUAAUGGCUCACCAAGCCAACGAUCAGUAGGGGGUCUGAGAGGAUGUCCCCCCACACUGGUACUGAGACACGGACCAGACUCCUACGGGAGGCAGCAGUAGGGAAUAUUGGACAAUGGGGGCAACCCUGAUCCAGCCAUUCCGCGUGCAGGAAUAAGGCCCUAUGGGUCGUAAACUGCUUUGUAUGGGAAAAAUCAUCUUACGUGUAGGAUGUUGAUGGUACCAUGAGAAUAAGGAUCGGCUAACUUCGUG